UGCCAGACUCCUACGGGAGGCAGCAGUGGGGAAUAUUGCACAAUGGGGGAAACCCUGAUGCAGCGACGCCGCGUGAGUGAAGAAGUCAUUCGUGAUGUAAAGCUCUAUCAGCAGGGAAGAAAAUGACGGUACCUGACCAAGAAGCCCCGGCUAACUACGUGCCAGCAGCCGCGGUAAUACGUAGGGGGCAAGCGUUAUCCGGAUUUACUGGGUGUAAAGGGAGCGUAGACGGCAAGGCAAGUCUGGAGUGAAAGCCCGUGGCCCAACCACGGGACUGCUUUGGAAACUGUGUUGCUGGAGUGCAGGAGGGGUAAGCGGAAUUCCUAGUGUAGCGGUGAAAUGCGUAGAUAUUAGGAGGAACACCGGUGGCGAAGGCGGCUUACUGGACUGUAACUGACGUUGAGGCUCGAAGGCGUGGGGAGCAAACAGGAUUAGAUACCCGCGUA
rnacentral:rRNA from 1 species